rnacentral:rRNA from 1 species
GAUGAACGCUGGCGGCGUGCCUAAUACAUGCAAGUCGAACGAACAGACGAUGAGCUUGCUCCUCUGACGUUAGCGGCGGACGGGUGAGUAACACGUGUAUAACCUACCUAUAAUACUGGUAUAACUUCGGGAAACCGGAGCUAAUACCGUAGAAUAUAUUGAACCGCAUGGUUCAAUAGUGAAAUACGGUUUUUCUGUCACUUAUAGAUGGAUCCCCGCCGCAUGAGAUAGUUGGGAAGGUAAAGGCUUACCAAGGCUACGAUGCGUAGCCGACGUGAGAGGGGGAUCGCCCACACUGGAACGGGGACACGGUCAAGACUCCUAAGGGAGGCAGCAGAAGCGAAUCUUCCGCAAUGGGCGAAAGCCUGACGGAGCAACGCCGAGCGAGAGACGAAGGCCUUGGGAUCGUAAAAAUCUGUUAUUAGGGAAAAACAAAUGUGGAAGUAAAUAUGCACGUCGUGACGGUACUUAAUCAGAAAGCAACGGCUAACUACGUG